rnacentral:rRNA from 1 species
UAUCUCACAAGUGUCUGCCUUAUCAACUUUCGAUGGUAGUUUAUGUGCCUACCAUGGUUGUAACGGGUAACGGAGAAUAAGGGUUCGACUCCCGAGAGGGAGCCUGAGAAACGGCUACCACAUCCAAGGAAGGCAGCAGGCGCGCAAAUUACCCACUCUCGGCAUGAGGAGGUAGUGACGAAAAAUAACGAGACCGUUCUCUUUGAGGCCGGUUAUCGGAAUGGGUACAAUUUAAACCUGUUAACGAGGAUCUAUGAGAGGGCAAGUCUGGUGCCAGCAGCCGCGGUAAUUCCAGCUCUCAAAGUGUAUAUCGUCAUUGCUGCGGUUAAAAAGCUCGUAGUUGGAUCUGCGUCUUAGGACUUGGUCCAUCCGAUUGGAUGUGAACUAAGAACCUAGACUAAUAUUUAGCUAGUUUUACUGUAUGUUACCUUAAUUGGUUGCAUAUAGUGGCUGGCAUGUUUACCUUGAAAAAAUUAGAGUGCUUAACGCGGGCUUAUAAUGCUUGAAUACUCGUGCAUGGAAUAAUGAAAUAGGAUCUUGAUUGUUGUAUGCCUAUUUUGUUGGUUUAAAACAUAAAUACAAUUGAGAUAAUGGUUAAGAGGGACGGACGGGGGCAUUCGUAUCGCUGCGUGAGAGGUGAAAUUCUUGGACCGUAGCGAGACGCCCAACUGCGAAAGCAUUUGCCAAGAAUGUCUUCAUUAAUCAAGAACGAAAGUCAGAGGUUCGAAGGCGAUCAGAUACCGCCCUAGUUCUGACCGUAAACGAUACCAACUAGCGUUCCGUUGGCGGUAAAUACGCCUUGACGGGCAGCUUCCCGGAAACGAAAGUUUUUCGGUUCCGGGGGAAGUAUGGUUGCAAAGCUGAAACUUAAAGAAAUUGACGGAAGGGCACCACCAGGAGUGGAGCCUGCGGCUUAAUUUGACUCAACACGGGAAAACUCACCUGGCCCGGACACCGUGAGGAUUGACAGAUUGAAAGCUCUUUCAUGAUUCGGUGGUUGGUGGUGCAUGGCCGUUCUUAGUUGGUGGAGUGAUUUGUCUGGUUUAUUCCGAUAACGAGCGAGACUCUAGCCUACUAAAUAGUUUAUGCUGGAUAAAUGUAUUCGUACGCUAGUCCAGACAACUUCUUAGAGGGACAAGCGGUGUUUAGCCGCAUGAAGUUGAGCAAUAACAGGUCUGUGAUGCCCUUAGAUGUCCAGGGC